ACCUGGCGGCGAGUGGCGAACGGGUGAGUAAUAUAUCGGAACGUACCCUGGAGUGGGGGAUAACGUAGCGAAAGUUACGCUAAUACCGCAUACGAUCUAAGGAUGAAAGUGGGGGAUCGCAAGACCUCAUGCUCCUGGAGCGGCCGAUAUCUGAUUAGCUAGUUGGUGGGGUAAAGGCCUACCAAGGCAUCGAUCAGUAGCUGGUCUGAGAGGACGACCAGCCACACUGGAACUGAGACACGGUCCAGACUCCUACGGGAGGCAGCAGUGGGGAAUUUUGGACAAUGGGCGCAAGCCUGAUCCAGCAAUGCCGCGUGAGUGAAGAAGGCCUUCGGGUUGUAAAGCUCUUUUGUCAGGGAAGAAACGGUCUGCUCUAAUACAGCGGGCUAAUGACGGUACCUGAAGAAUAAGCACCGGCUAACUACGUGCCAGCAGCCGCGGUAAUACGUAGGGUGCAAGCGUUAAUCGGAAUUACUGGGCGUAAAGCGUGCGCAGGCGGUUUUGUAAGUCUGUCGUGAAAUCCCCGGGCUCAACCUGGGAAUUGCGAUGGAGACUGCAAGGCUAGAGUUUGGCAGAGGGGGGUAGAAUUCCACGUGUAGCA
rnacentral:rRNA from 1 species